rnacentral:rRNA from 1 species
AUAUUGGACAAUGGGCGCAAGCCUGAUCCAGCAAUGCCGCGUGUGUGAAGAAGGCCUUCGGGUUGUAAAGCACUUUUAUCAGGAACGAAAUACCAUGGGUUAAUACCCGAUGGGGCUGACGGUACCUGAGGAAUAAGCACCGGCUAACUUCGUGCCAGCAGCCGCGGUAAUACGAAGGGUGCAAGCGUUAAUCGGAAUUACUGGGCGUAAAGGGUGCGUAGGCGGUUUGUUAAGUCUGUUGUGAAAUCCCCGGGCUCAACCUGGGAAUGGCAAUGGAUACUGGCAAGCUAGAGUGUGUCAGAGGAUGGUGGAAUUUCCGGUGUAGCGGUGAAAUGCGUAGAGAUCGGAAGGAACAUCAGUGGCGAAGGCGGCCAUCUGGGACAACACUGACGCUGAAGCACGAAAGCGUGGGGAGCAAACAG